UGAUUUGUAUGUGGUGAGGUUGGAUGGGAGUGGGUUGCAGAGGUUGACUUGUAAUUGGUAUGAGAAUGGCACGCCAGCGUGGCACCAGAGGGAUGAGUUGCUGGAUACGGGACGGUUGGGCUUGGGAUGCGAGGUUGGAGAUAAGUUGCAGGGUCAAUUCGAUGAGCCGCUCUGGAUCCGUUGUGAUUUUUAAUUCCAACACCAAUGAAUUCAGGACCAGAGGAUGGACAAGAAGUCAUCAGAUCAAUAUGUACCUGACAGCAGCAAUAAUAGUGCGGAUGGAGGAAAGAAUGGAUGGAAUAGCUCUGCUUCUGAUAUUACUGGGGAUGAAGGAGGCACCUCUAAUUCCUCCCUUGACGCUUUUUUUUAGUUAGAGAGAUUUAGGGAAGGAUUUGAAAAGGAAAGGAAAAAGAUGUGUAAAUUAGAUGAAAUGUAGGUAUAUUUUAUUCACAUUUCACUUAUCUUUUCAAAUUUCUUCUCAAAUCCUCCAACCAAACACAGUAUGAGACUGUCUCAUCUAGGAAGAAGCCAACUGGGCAGUCACUCAGAAUGACAGAUGAUUAUAUACUUCAGAGAUACGCUUUUACAAAGGAAAGGAUUGAAGUAUACCCAGUUUUUAUCCUGAAGAAUCAUCAUUCUUUGUGGAGAAACUCACUAGAUCAUAAUUUGUGGUGUGACUAAUUGUGAAGACUUAAUUUUAGUUUGAGCAUGCUGUAUGAAGAUGUCGUCAUUCUUUGUGGAGAAUCUCACUAGAUCAUAAUUUGUGGUGUGACUAAUUGUAAAGACUUAAUUUUAGUUUGAGCAUGUAUAUCAAUUGCUUUGUUAUAGGCUCCUUUGGUUUUGUGG